rnacentral:rRNA from 1 species
AGCAGCCGCGGUAAUUCCAGCUCCAUCAGUGUAUAUUAACGUUGUUGCGGUUAAAAAGCUCGUAGUUGGAUUUCGGAGUGCGAAGGUCAAGACCCAUCAAAUUGGUGUGGUCCGACAGUCGCCUCCUAGCUUAGGGUAACAGCCUCUCUUCCUUUGCGGGUUGGGAUGUGCCGUUCCCUAUCUUUUACUUUGAUAAAAUCAGAGUGUUCAAAGCAGGCGUCACUUGCCUUGAAUGUUGCCGCAAGGGAUAAUAGAAUAUGACUUUGGUCUUAUUAUGUUGGUUUCUAGGGCUGAAGUAAUGACUAAUAGGGACAGUUGGGGGCGCUCGUAUUGAGUUGUCAGAGGUGAAAUUCUAGGAUUUACUCAAGACGAACUACUGCGAAAGCAUUCGCCAAGGAUGUUUUCAUUAAUCAAGAACGAAAGUUGGGGGAUCGAAGAUGAUCAGAUACCGUUGUAGUCUCAACCAUAAACUACGUGGACCAACGAUCCGAGGAAGUUACAUGGAUGACUCUCCGGGCAGUUUGUGAGAAAUCAUAAGUAUUUGCAUUCCGGGGGGAGUAUGGUCGCAAGGCUGAAACUUAAAGGAAUUGACGGAAGGGCACCACCAGGAGUGGAACCUGCGGCUUAAUUUGACUCAACACG